rnacentral:lncRNA from 1 species
AAUUUCUAAACCAAAUUGUUGUAGAAGUGAUUAAUAAUAAAAGACUUUUAAGAUAUUUUUGUAAAUUAGAAAAUAAUAAGCACUUCAAGUUACCUAAUCAACAUAUUUUACAAUUAAACAAAUGAUCCCAGUCAGACGAGAUUAUUGCACUAAAAUCUCAUCUGGUCAAGAAUCACUACAUACACUGUUAAUAUAUGCACACAAAUACUUAAUAUGGGGAUCGAUGCAUCCAAAUAUUUUUCAUAUGCAACUUCAGUAUCGAAGCAUUAGUAGUAAAAAACCUCCUAGACCUCUUCUUUUACCUUAUUUAUAUCCAUCCUCUCUUAGUCAAUAACCAUAAAAUUGAAAAUAACAGUAGAGGCAAAAAUGAAACUAUGAUCAAGUUUACCAUCCUUAGCAUGACAAAAGCUGUAGCAAAAAUCUGUUCCUAUUCAUAUCGUCCUUUCUCAUCCAGCAGUCACUCUCCUCACCAUAGCUCAGCCAUAAAUCUCAACGUUCGUGUGAGUUCUGCCACUGAUCCUAUCACAGAGUUGAUUAUUUUUGACAGUAAUCACCUAAUGCUAAUCCAAAGCCCUUUUAUCUGUUAGCCUCUCAAUUUACUUGAACGUUUCACACU